GAGUUCCAGAGCCUCAAAGAGCACCCAGCAUAACUGUGGGAGAAUAGUAAGCAUUGGACACAAAAUGGUUUAGGCAAAUAAUGAUGAACAAAAAUGGUCAGUCUGUGUUCCUGCUGACCCAGCACAGUGGGGACGCUGUGUAGGACAUGACCUUUGGGGGAAAGGACACAAGAACUCAGCGUGGGGGAUCCAGAAAAGAAGUCGCACGUAUUGAAGCCAGUAACGCCAAGCCAGUGAAUUCUCCUUGACGAGAAAGACCCACUUACUCUGCAGAAGAGAUAUAUGACAGCUGACAAUCCCUGGAGGAGAAUCUUUCUACUAAAUUGAACUGAUCCGAGAGGACAGGGAAGUCAGUGUGGGCGGCUCUAAGGAGCCUCCCUCUCUACAGCUGCGGCUCAGAGGAUUACGGCGCUUCAUCCACAAGGCAACAUUGCACAAGUAGCUUUUGAACAAAAGUCAUGGAUACUAUUAAUGAUAUGGUAAUCCUUAAUCGAGCUACCUCCCAGUAGUGAUUAUACUGACAUGGGAAGAAUAUCUAAGUCGUGGAGGCAGCCCACAACAACACUGUGUCAUUGUUCACCCCGGGCUCGACCAGGACUAACUUUUACCAGCAUCUCUAACGUCACCUUUCCCCUGAUGCCUCCCCACAACCCCUGGCCCCAGCUCCCAUUCCCGCCCCAUCAUAGCAAAAAAGUAGCAAAGAAAACCCUGAUCCUAAAUCUUUUUCUGGAUUUUUUUUUGCAAGUUCCCACACACAUUUAGUGUCGUCUCAAAAUUCACGCUGUCAACUGUCUCUAGGAAUCAUUUCCAUCUGAGAACAGACCACACAAAGACACAGUGAAACUCAGUUUCUGCAGAAUUUGAUUUCAUUUGAGUUACUGGGGAACAAAGCAAUUAGACAAUGAAUAAUAGCUCAAGACAGGCUGAAGCUGAAGAUUUCUGCAAAAGAAUGAAGAGGAAACGUUUUGAUCCUGAGCAGAUGUUCUCCCUAGAUUGCUUCACCUGAGGUUGAUUGACUUUUGGAAACGAGAUUUGUUCCCAGUGCUUUGUGAGUCUCUUGUUGGAAGGACUGUCUUUAAAUUAAAGCAAUUAGAGUUACUUUAUAAGAUUUACCCAAAUAUAAGAGCUGAAGAGAAUAAUUCAAAUUGAUCAGAAGAAAAUACUCAAUUACUGACAAAUGUCAAUUACAUCAAUAGCCUAGGCUGCUCUUGAACUCCUGGGCUCAAACGAUCCUCCCCUGUCGGCCUCCCAAAGUGCUGGGAUUACAAGCUUGAACCACCAUGCCCAGCCUCAGAAAUUUUUUAAAUGACAGCUCAUACAGUUUUCUUUUAUAAAGGAGGAGAAAAUGUGUAAUUGUAAGCAGCUGAACUAAAAUAUCUCUGUGACAUUUUGCUGGUGACUCCAGCCCUGUGAGAUCUGAGUGGCUCAGGAAUCAAAUUCUCCCACAAACCUGAGGAAGCCUUUUAUUCUUAAUGCCAACAGGAUGCCCCAUGCCCAGAAUGUCAAAUCUGAACACCAAUGGAAUGCAUUUUAUAAACAAAUUGAAAAAGGACAAUCUUUAACAGAAUUGUUGUUCUCUAGGCAGAUUAGUUGUGCUUCAAAUACAAAAUGAAAUAUUAGAGAACAAAAUUAUUUUUAAACAGCUAAUACUAGUAGAAAAUAAAAGGCUGAAAAGUGCUAUAA
ensembl:lncRNA LINC02436 long intergenic non-protein coding RNA 2436